CUGGAGCAACAGGGGCCAUGUGGACUGGCAGAGCAGAGCCCUGAGACAGCAGACAUCCAGAAUCCAGAUGCAGCCCAGAGAACACAGGUCUCCAGAGAAGCUCAUUUCAUCCUCUCGGAUUUGACUCACUGGCUGCCUCAUCAUCACCUUGUCUCCAACUUUUCUCAGCUCCAGUUGUUACACCGCCAUCACUGCCACCAUUACCACCACUGAAAAAAACACAGACCACAUAGGAAGCCUGAUAACGUUGCCCAGACAGAUAGAAUCUUCAGGUCCAUCAGUAGCUGCAUGGUGUCAUUGCAGGAGAUACCAGGACAGGCAUAUCAAGCUGUGGCUAAGUGUCAACCGGGUAAUGCAGCAGGAGGCAUUCACGGGAAAGUGAGAGAGAAGGGCAGCUCAUCUCAGAAACAUAGAAAACCAGUAUUGCUUAUGUUCAGUGAUAGUAGCUGACUAUUGCUGAUUAUUGAUCUUGUUUGUUAAUUUAAGCAUAAACAAUGUCUAUGGUUACUGUGUGUUGGUAAAAAAGGUCUUGUAAUGAAACUCGCUGUUUAUUGCCUGUGGUUUAAAAAGUUGAA